UAGGGAAUCUUCGGCAAUGGACGAAAGUCUGACCGAGCAACGCCGCGUGAGUGAAGAAGGUUUUCGGAUCGUAAAACUCUGUUGUUAGAGAAGAACAAGGACGUUAGUAACUGAACGUCCCCUGACGGUAUCUAACCAGAAAGCCACGGCUAACUACGUGCCAGCACCCGCGGUAAUACGUAGGUGGCAAGCGUUGUCCGGAUUUAUUGGGCGUAAAGCGAGCGCAGGCGGUUUCUUAAGUCUGAUGUGAAAGCCCCCGGCUCAACCGGGGAGGGUCAUUGGAAACUGGGAGACUUGAGUGCAGAAGAGGAGAGUGGAAUUCCAUGUGUAGCGGUGAAAUGCGUAGAUAUAUGGAGGAACACCAGUGGCGAAGGCGGCUCUCUGGUCUGUAACUGACGCUGAGGCUCGAAAGCGUGGGGAGCAAACAGG
rnacentral:rRNA from 1 species